GAGGAUUGGCACAUCUAACUGGGACAUUGAAUAGCAAGGAAUAUGAAUGACGUGGAGCCACAGAGACAGAGUUUUGCUACAUUGCUCAGGCUGAUCUCUCCUCUUGGGCUCAAGUGAUCUGCCAGCCUUGGCCUCCUGAAGUGCUGGGAUUAUAGGCAUGAGCCACCAUGCCCGGCCCAAUAUCAACAUUCUGAACAUCAGCCUUUGUACUGAGUGAUAAUACAGCAACGCUGUCAAGGCCCACUGGGAGAACAAAGAGAGGUGGAUCCCAGGAGGCAGCCAGGGGAUGCAAGGAGCCAACAUGCCAUCAGAGAGGGGUGAAGAGAUAAGGUCCCAAGGAAAGCUAUUGGAAAGCUUUCUACCAAAAGGGAGAUCAAGGACCACAGAGCACAUCCUGAAAGACAAGUCAUCCUCAGUGAGUGCCUUAUCAAGCUUAUUACUUCAUGGUGACAAGAGGGCUGCACUUGAUCCAACAUCAAUUUUGGAUUCCAGUAAGCAAGAAGAAGAAGACAAAUGAGAAAAAGAUAUAAGCCAGGCUGCUGUGCUAUGGCUGAUGCUGCAGUUCCAGAGCAGGCUCCCUGCUGUGAUUCUACUCAUGAGAUGUUUCCCAGCAGAGGAACUAGCGACAGUGCAAGAGGGGACCCCCAUUUCGUGUUUCUGUGAAGGCUGCAGAACCAGGCUUUGUAGUGGAUGCCAGCUCAUUUCCAAGCUAGAUGUCCAAUCUACUAGCUAGAUGUCAAAGGUCAUGAUGAAUCUUUGAUGCAUGACAGAGUCUGAUAGUGGAAGCUUUGUAAAAGCAAAUCUUCCUGGGUGUCAAAGGAAUUUAAGUCUGGCAAUGUGGCAAAGUUUCCCAACAUUCCAAACAGUGGCAGCAUGUUUCCAAAAACAGGUAGCACAAUCUUCUUUUUACAACAAAAAUGAAAGUUAUAGUAGGAUGUAAAUGUAUUUAAACAGCAGAGGCUGUAGAAGACAGCAUAUAAGGGAGCAGUGGUCUAUUACCCUUAACAUUGAGAGGUGGCCUCGUACAAUGGUUAAACAAGUCCUAGGUUUGAAUCUUCGCUCAACUCUGCAAAUUGCAUAAUCUCUCUGAGCUUUAAAUGUUAUUUCAAGAUGUCUAUUCAUGUAAAAUUCCUAGGAUGCUGCUUGGCACAUGGUAAUAAAAGACCCUAAUGGAGGGUAACUGGUAUAUAACAGACUUUCAGGUUUAUUUCUCUUAAAAUUAGGAGCAAAACUUUAUGGUAAAUGACAAAAACAAGCUGCUAACUGAUAAAUAAAACUGUAAUUGGGACUUUAUAUUAAAAGAAAAUUCAGACACAGUGGCUCACACCUGUAAUCCCAGCACUUUGGGAAGUUGAGGUGGAAGGAUUGCUUUAGCCUAGGAGUUUGAGACCAGCCUGGGCUAUAAAUAUACAUACACAUAUAUGUAUAAAUACAUGUACACACAUACAUUUACAUAUUUAUAUGUAAAUAUAUACAUUUGCAUAUUUGCAUAUGUAUGUUAUUUAACUU
rnacentral:lncRNA from 1 species